CUUCACCGAGCCCAGCCACAAAGGCUGUCCCUCCGGCCGGUUCUGGCCGUAGGUGGCGAUCACCGCCUGUGCCUC
rnacentral:antisense_RNA from 2 species